rnacentral:rRNA from 1 species
UACGAAGGGGGCUAGCGUUGUUCGGAAUCACUGGGCGUAAAGCGCACGUAGGCGGAUUGUUAAGUCAGGGGUGAAAUGCCAAGGCUCAACCUUGGAACUGCCUUUGAUACUGGCAAUCUCGAGUCCGGGAGAGGUGAGUGGAACUGCGAGUGUAGAGGUGAAAUUCGUAGAUAUUCGCAAGAACACCAGUGGCGAAGGCGGCUCACUGGCCCGGUACUGACGCUGAGGUGCGAAAGCGGUGGGGGAGCAAACAGG